rnacentral:tRNA from 3 species
AAUUAUUUAACUAUAUUAAGUUUAUGUUUUGAAAACAUAAAAAAGAAUUCUAUUCUAAUAAUUU